rnacentral:rRNA from 1 species
UGGGGAAUUUUGGACAAUGGGCGAAAGCCUGAUCCAGCAAUGCCGCGUGUGUGAAGAAGGCCUUCGGGUUGUAAAGCACUUUUGUCCGGAAAGAAAUCCUCUGGGUUAAUACCUCGGGGGGAUGACGGUACCGGAAGAAUAAGCACCGGCUAACUACGUGCCAGCAGCCGCGGUAAUACGUAGGGUGCAAGCGUUAAUCGGAAUUACUGGGCGUAAAGCGUGCGCAGGCGGUUUUGUAAGACGGAUGUGAAAUCCCCGGGCUUAACCUGGGAACUGCAUUCGUGACUGCAAGGCUAGAGUAUGGCAGAGGGGGGUAGAAUUCCACGUGUGAGCAGUGAAAUGCGUAGAGAUGUGGAGGAAUACCGAUGGCGAAGGCAGCCCCCUGGGCC